rnacentral:rRNA from 1 species
GCCAUUAGGCCCAGGGCACGUCUGCCUGGGUGUCACGC